GGAUGGCUUUGGUGUAACAUAAAUAAGGUUGUAUACUGAGAGCACAUAUGCUGGCUUAAUGCUAAUUUGUUGCUUUAUUUGGAAGUGGGUAUAUGUUGUCCGGGUACCAAUAAAGGAAUUGGUAUAUGUUAUGGACAAUCCUGUCGGUGUGUUCUCUAUUGGCUUCAACAAUUUUAACGGCGGGUUCGGUUUUGGUCAUAGUGGCAUGCCAAGGGAAGCAGGGACGCAACAAAGGAUCGGAAGAUGCAGUACAACGGCCGAUACUGGAUCUCCCGUCCCCACCAAAGGCCUCAGGCACCCAAUGGCAGUGGCGCCUUGGCUCUUAUCGGUGACUCCAGCAGCAGCGCCUUCGUACCGGAUAUAAGCUCCCUGGACAAGUCUCUCCGGCACUACUUCACUGCAGACUAGCUGGCUAUCACAAUGCGUUGGAGAAAAUUCUAGUGACAGCCAGAAGAUAAGCUACGACAUGAGCUAGCAUGCAAGACAAUGACAUAAUUGUGUUGGUCAGGUGUGAUCUUUCCCAGGGUAGAUAAGUUAUGGGAGUAAUCAGUGCGGGAAGCAAUCUGUAAUUAGUGGCUCUUAAAGCCCUCUUUUCAAAAGCUGGAAUUUCGUGGUACCUGAGUGGAAAUUAUGUUGUUUGGUACGGAAUUCUUAACUUCUAGACAGCCAAUUCAAUUCAGUUAGUACUGAAUCCUUUGGUUAACAGUAGAACAACAUAUGUUUUCCCAAAUUUGAUUA